GGCGCCGUGGCUUAGUUGGUUAAAGCGCCUGUCUAGUAAACAUGAGAUCACGAGUUCGAAUCUCGUCGGUGCCU